CACUCAGGUACCUAAGUGGUUAGAGUGUCUGCCUCAGAUGCCAGAGGUCUUGGGUUCAAAUCCCAGCCAAGUCA